UGCAAUGAUGAUAUAUGUGUAUCCCAGCUCAUUACGAGACCUUUUGUAGGUCAGGGAAUAGACUUAACCCACAUCUAUCUGAGCCUUUCG
rfam:Prunus persica cultivar Lovell chromosome G6, whole genome shotgun sequence.